AUACGGAAAUGCCGCGCUAGGCUUUGUGCCCCGCGCCCCAUUUGAUUGCAGACUCGGCGCCGACUCGGGGAAUCUGCCCCUUGCUCGCAGCUUGCCUGCGCAUAAUCAUCAAGCCUUCGCUCGUAAUUAGCAACAUUUCCCGCUUCUGUCUCACCAAAGCGCCAACAACCGCGCGCCUCCGUCCAAUUACGCGGGCAGGUGGGCAUGGGAGCGCUACCAGACACGUUUAAGAGGAGCUGCAUCGCCCUGUUCGCCGCCGAGGGAACAACUGCAGCUCUUCCAGCCUCCUUGGCUCCGUGCGGCUCUCCCAGUCAGUCUCCUGGAGACUGAUGAGGCUUCUGCGACAAGUGUGGGAGCAGUCUGUCACCAUGUGGCACGUGUCCAGCGCCAUGAAAUGGAGAGUCCUCCCGUUGGCACAGAGAGCUGAUGAUAGGCCAGGGUAGUCGGCAGCGCUCAACUGCAGCUCAACAAGGAGACGGAAGCCAACACCCAACACCCCACUGGAGCUUGGAAGAAACCAUUUUUACUCACACUACAAAACAAAGACUGUAUGUAACGUUUGUCCACCUUACCAAAGCGCUUGACACUGUGGGCAGAAAAGGCCUGUGGCAAAUUAUGGAACGACUAGAAUGUCCUCCAAAAUUCCUCAACAUGAUUAUCAAGCUACAUGAAGGCCAGCGUGGCCAAGUCAGACGCAGCAAAGACCUCUCAGAGCCCUUCCCAAUAAGCGACGGUGUAAAGCAAGGCUGCGUCCUCACGCCGACCCUCUUCGCAGUCUUCUUCAGCAUGAUGCUCCAAAGGGCCACAGUAGACCUUGAUGACGAGGAUGAUGUCUAUAUCCGAUACCGCACCGAUGGCAGCCUGUUGAACUUGAGGCGGCUAAAGGCCCACACCAAGACAGUGGAGCAUCUUAUCCGAGAACUACUCUUUGCCAACGAUGCUGCCCUUGUUUCCCACAUGGUGACAGCUCUGCAGCCUAUAACAUUCUGUUUUGCAGAGGCUGCCGAGCUAUUUGGGCUAGAAGUCAGCUUGAAGACGACAAAAGUUCUCCACCAGUCUUCACCUCCGGAAGACUACCACCCUCCCCAUAUCACCAUAGGCGAAUCAGAGCUGAAGACAGUCCACCGGUUCGGCUACCUGGGGUGCAUCAUCUCCUCGGAUGCCAAGGUCAACAAAGACACCGACAACAGACUGGCAAAGGUAAACAGUGCAUUGGGCAAACUGUACAGAAGUGUCUGGAACAACAAACAUCUGAAAAAAUGCACAAGGAUCAGUGUGUACGGAGCCAUUGUAUUGACCACUCGACUCUAUAGCUCCGAGUCGUGGGUCACCUACCGUCACCACCUGCGACUCUUUGAGCGCUUCCAUCAGCGUUGCCUCCACACCAUCCUCAGCAUCUACUGGAAUAACUUCAUCACCAACACUGAAGUCCUCAAACAGGCAGAGGUCACCCAGCAUAGAGGCCAUGCUGAUGAAGAUGCAGCUGUGUUGGGCAGAGCACAUCUCCAGGAUGGAGGAUCAUCGCCUGCCCAAGAUUGUGCUGCAUGGCGAACUCACCACUGGCCACCGCAACAGAGAGGCACUGAAGAAGAGGUGCAAGGACUCUCUGGAGAAAUCCCUUGAUGGCUGUUACAUUGAUCACUGCCAGUGGUCUGCUCUAGCCUUUGAUCGUGAGGCCUGGAGACAAACCAUUCACCAGGCUGUCUCCUCCUUCGAGAACGCACGUAGGCGGGUCUUGAGGACAAACGGAGAUGGAGGAAGAAAUGUGACACUGCAGCACCAAACCCAGAACAGACGUCCCCAUGCGGCCGCUGCUGCCGGACCUGCCUGUUCCGCAUUGGCCUCGUCAGCCACCAAUGUGCGCGGUGACCCCCUGACAGCCACCUGGAGCUUCAGCCAGAGGAGGCCUUUGUAACAGCUUGGGGUUUACACGAGGAAGCUGGUGCACACAGAGAGAAGGCAAACCUGAAGACUUCAAUGAGCAACGUGAGCCUCGGUGUGUGUUUUGUACAACGUGUGCUGUACUCGGUGGCUCAGGUAAGCGCUCUGCCGGUCAUGAAAUGUUCACGUUAUUUAAAUGGUCACAAAAACGCAGUGCUGUGAAGAUGGGGGACCAUAUCCUAUGAACGUGAGCGUUCAUAUGCGGGAAAGUGAUCUCGCAGUCGUCUUUCUCGCAGUGUGCGCAUUAUUAACCGAAACACCAUGGCGCUCCUCAACAGGCGCCUUAUCAGGCUCGCUCCUUUGCCCCUGCACCGCGCGGCCCCCCCCUCCACGGCUCCUUAGCCGGCCUCGUGACGCCGAGCCCACGCAACCGGGCCCCGCAUGGGCCUGUUAUGUAAAUGGUCAGUUUGUUUGCGAUCGGGUUGAAUAAUUCAUGAGGCCCGCGCAAUCCGCCGUAAGCUGCUUUGUCGCCCACAGCUGUGCGCGGCGCACGCGGAGCCUGGCGAGGUCCGGCCGAGGCCCAGGCCUCACAGGCGAUAAUGCGGACGGUGAGCAAACCGGCAAACAUUCUCUUCUCUUCUGGCACACAACCAAGCCCCUCCGUUCGGCUCUUAAGCGCAAAUGUCUCAGAGACUUUGGGUUUUACGAUCUCCUUGUUCUGUCAAAUAGAGAUAAUUGUAUUAUCUGGCAGUUCAUUAAAAACCUAAAAAAAGAGAACUUUUUUGCAGAAGGCCUACAGCAUAAUGUUGCUGGAACGAUAACCAUCUAAUAUCCAGAGCAAAAAGAAUAUUGUGGCUCAAGCGAAGACUGCAGGUGAAUAUUUCAGCCUCCAGCUCCAGCCAAUAUGUGCUUUUAGAAGUCAGCAAUUUCUCGUUAUUGGCAUCUUUGGUCUGUCGGUUUGCUCUGUGGGAAGCAAAUACCACUGGGAAAGCAUAUGCUCACUCUUUGUGAUACAUACUUGGAAAUACAUGUGUAAAUGUGGUUUUCGUUGAGCGCGCUGGGCAGCCGUUGUGCUCAACAGGUUUGCUUGUCUGGAAUGAGUGCCCUUGACAGUGAGGCAUGUUGUGUUUAGAUGGCACUCGCUGGUCUGGAUGGGGUCCAGAUGUUGGCUUCGCUUGGCUAAAUGCGGCUCCGGUCCUGCCCGGGUGCUGCCGCGUCCCUCCCUUUUGUCCGUACGCGGGUUGACGUGCCGGGCAGCCUCGAAUCAACAUGGAAACGGCCUUCCUCCUGCAGUCUGUAUUCCCCCACAAGGCUGUUUCGCUGACACUUGACAUGCAUGUAGAACUGGGCGCUGAUGGGCUCUUGAGCAUCUCAGGCAAUAAAUGGCAUCUUCCGAGCACAGGCACCGUGCUCUCUUCUGCAGACUGUGAGUCAGACUUCUGCAGUGGCAGAAUGCAACCGUGCCGUUCUGCUGUUGUGACCGCGCAGGGGGGUGUCCUGCAUGAGCGCCACCCACAGACGAGUCAGGCGCCUGCAGGCUGCCACCUGGCAGUGGCUCCCCUGCAGUGCACUUGCCCCGGGACCGGCACUGGGCUUGGCAGGGAGUGUUUCGGGGGACAGCGGGUGGCGGGAGGAUCUUUCAGAGGACGCUGGGCGGUGGGGGGAGUUUCAUGGAACAGCAGGUGGCAGUUGGGUUUCGGAGGGCAGCGGGCAGCCGAGGGAGGUUUGGGAACAGGGGGCAGCGGAAGGAGUUGCUGACCUGUACAAACUUAAGAGUCACGGCAAAAAAAAAUGAAAGCUUACACCUGUGUGUUUUCAUUCCGCUGAUGGAAAUGUAAUUUACAUAAACAAUUUUAUAGGGCAGUUUUAGAUUUAUUGCUGGUUUUAAUAUAAUUUUCUGUAAAACCAGGUUUGGUGUUGUCCACACACCUUAUCACAGAAUGUUUCAUCGGAGUAUUCGAUUGAAAUGUGAACAUAUGGUGUUUUAAAGUGUUUUUCAAAUUUUUGUGUUGUGCGGCUAAGCAGGUGGUGUAGUGGUCUGUGCGGCUGGCUUGAUGGUUCUAGGUUCAAAUCCCACUUCUUGCUGUAGUACCUAUGAGCAAGGUACUUUCUCUGAACUGCCCCAUAGCCAUAAAUGCGUGCAUCGUUGCAAAUGGUUUAACGUUGCCACUUUGGAGAAAAACGUCAGCCAAAAAAGUCGAUGCGUUCAAAUACAGAUCUGUAAACUGUGCAAUAUGAGAGCGGAGGCCUUCUGAAGAGAUGCGGUCUGAAUAAUAGGCACCACCUCAGCAUGGUUACAUUCAUUUCACUGCUCUCUUUUUCCCCGGGUGAACCUGACCACCGGCCCUCUGUGUUCUCAGCGCCAGGCCGGAGAGUGAUAUCUUUUCGCCAGUCAUCCAUGUUGGCUCUUCUUCUGAGGCACAGAGGGGUGGCGUAAUAUAUAUGCUAAUAUCGUUUGUAUCUGCAGAUGAGGAUGAUUAUAUCUGGAUGAGUCAGAGGUAAAAUGGGCUGGGGAACAUCCGAUAAACCCUGACGCAGCUGUUUCUCUGCAGGAAUUCUGUCACGGCCGCUGCUCGCUGCCCUCCCCUCAUGCCCGUACCUGACUUGUUCCCCUCGCCCCUCCCCGCUUCACCCCCGACUCCCUCCGGCUAACUCGCCCGGGACCUUCGCACACCUGUCUUCCACUUGCGCACACAACACAAACAAGUAGAGCAGCUAGUCUCGCUCGUGGCGCGGAUCUACAGCAAGGCCGACAAAACCGUACCGGCUGGGAGAAGGUCAACCUCACGAUGAAUUGCAGCACUCUAUCAGGUGAAUACCGCUUGAUUAUCUCCGCUUUCCAUGUGGCGCUGAAGUGUCGUGUAUGGAUAGCUUAGGAGCCUCAAACAAAUCGAGCGUCGUCCGUCGGAGCCUUUAAAGGUAACCAGAGCAUCUGUGUCAUGGCUGUUUCCUCAGCAACAGGCUUGAGAGGAUAAAAUUCUUUGGUGACUCAACGCAGGACUCCGAGGCUGGACUAGCGAUAUUCACGAAUCCGCAGGAGACACUAAGCCAUUAUGUUGUUUCGUAAUUUGCCCAAGACAGAUGUUUCGAUGAUGGAUUAGCUAACCGCUGCCACCACAGCCGACUUGGGAGAAGCAACAAAGUAGCUGAUGUCUGUGUCUUUGUCUUGAGUGCCAGUAUUAUUCUCCAUAUUGCCGGCAGAGAGUGUUUUUGAGGAAACAGCCCACCACAGUUGUUACUGAAAGCGCCGGCAGUGGAAAAUGCUUCACCCUCUCUACUGGAGGUGAUACUGCAGGACAGGUCAGCACUCCUAAAUCCUGACCCUUCCAAGUUCAAAGUACAUUUUUGUGAUGCUUUUUCUCCAAAGUGACUUACAAUAUUAGUCUAUUUACAAUUUUUUACCCAUUUAUGGAGCUGGGUGAUGUUACUUGACCAAUUUAGGGUCACUAGCUUACUCAAGGGUAUUACAGCCAGAGGAGGAUUGAACCUGCAACUGUUAGAUCAAAAGGCAGUAGC